GAGGCCCUGGGACCAGAGAUUGAGCCUGCAACCAAGGUUUUCCUAUGAACAGCAUACCCUGGAGGGAGGAAAGCAGUUCACACUCACAGGAGGUGGAGAUCCACUGAUAAACAUGUAUCUGUUGUUCAAAUCAACAGAGACAAAAUAUGAAUAGCUUGAAUGAGCCAAGGUUUGCUUUUUGAAAAACCCCCUACGUCAGCACACAGUAGAAUGAGGAAAUGACACUGUUGAUCAAGGAAGAAGAACAGCCACAAUUAGAAAAUGAAAGUGAGAGUUAUUUCUUCAUGUGAGAAGGUGCAUUUGGCAAGACCCUUUGGAUGAAUGCUGUUUUAAGAAAGAGAGAGAAAAACCCAUGUUAUCAGCAAAGCUCAGCAAGAAAGAAGCACAUGGUGGCCCCGGCACCCCAGUCAUCCUCUGACCAGCACAGCCUUUCUUGAAUCCAGAGCUAGAUUCCAAAUAAACUUCAGACUGCCUCUCCCCAUUCUCUCCCGAGGUCAGCCACCGAGGCUAUCUGGGUCCCCUGA